UUUUUUAGAUCCUUUUUUUUUUUGCGAUGAAAUUUGUGUAAAUCGUUUUUAAAAAAUGUCUAGAUUCCCGACCGUUUUUCUAGACAAUAUAUAUAUAUAAACAUAUAUAAACAUAACGAUAAAUAUCGACAUAUUACUACACAGGUUUUAUUUUUGUCGAUUUCUACAUUACUUUAAGAACUAUAUACAACUGAAAAAAAAACACUACUUAUAGAUACUAUAGACACACCUAUACUAAUACUACCCCGUUCAGAAUCGGUUUUUUUUUUUCUAUUGCGACGCUUUAUCGCUGCUUUAGAUGUAAUAUAUUAAACUUAAUUUCCCUAUAUCCGAUGUACAUUAUACCUGACAAACCGCAUACCUACUGUGCACACACACACACACACACACACAAUAGCCUGUACCCGCGGUGCGAAGUACGUCCGGAUGUGUACACGUUUUGUUUUGGCUACUUUAAGCCGUUCAACGCACACAUAAAAUGCGACGACAAACAGAAUCCAAAACGUUUAUUAUACACUUAAUACACGCUGAACACACGGACGAAUACUCAUUAUGUGUAAGAUGUGUACCCGCGAUCAAUGUGCACGACACGACGGUGGAUAUUAUUGUGCUCCGGACGUAGGUUUGACGCGCGCACGAGACAAUGUUCAGUUAGUUUUGAAACAUAGCGUGUAUGCGGACGUCGGAAAAAAAAAAAAUAUAUGUACGUAAAAAAAAUAAUAAUAAUAACGUUUAAAAACCAGCACCCGUACGUGCCGAAAUUCCCGAACAACAACAACAACAACAACAAUGCAUGUUAGGUUGUACUGGAAAAUGUAAUUUCAACGGUUUUCGUCGGCAGUGUUUUCGUUACAGUGGUUCAAGAACAACGUGUAUAAUAGGUACGUAUAAGAUGAUGAAUAUUGCAAUAUUAUAACCCAUAAAUAUUAUUGCAGGAAGAGGAUUACGAAACGAGUAAACACAAUAAUAUUAUGUACCUAUACCGAUUUUUUUUUUUUUUUGUUUCAUUCGUCUAGAGCCAGUGUUUCUCAACAUUUUUUUUACAAGUUAUCGACCUCUCCCCC